UAGGAUAAAGGAGAUGGCAUUCUUCCUGUUACAAACCGCCAUAGUGGCUAAUGAUGCCUACGUGACC
rnacentral:ncRNA from 2 species